UACGUAGGGUGCGAGCGUUAAUCGGAAUUACUGGGCGUAAAGCGUGCGCAGGCGGUUUGUAAGCCAGGUGUGAAAUCCCCGGGCUCAACCUGGGAAUGGCAUUUGGGACUGCAAGGCUGGAGUGCGGCAGAGGAGACUGGAAUUCCUGGUGUAGCAGUGAAAUGCGUAGAUAUCAGGAGGAACACCGAUGGCGAAGGCAGGUCUCUGGGCUGACACUGACGCUCAUGCACGAAAGCGUGGGGAGCGAAACAACGG
rnacentral:rRNA from 1 species